GGUUUCCGUAGGUGAACCUGCGGAAGGAUCAUUAACACAUCCUUUCAACCUCACAUUUAUAUUCUGUUACAUGUGUUGUUAUGUAUGGCUUUCGAGUUAUACAUACGGCACAUGCAUCAAUGAAACCUAAUUUGAUAGUUUAUUGUAUAAAUAAGCUUAUCAUAACACAAAAGAGAAUGAAAAUUCUCAACGAUGGAUAUCUUGGUUCCCAUAUCGAUGAAGAACGCAGCGAAAUGCGAAAGGCAAUGCGAAUUGCAGAAUUCCGCGAGUCAUCAGAUCUUUGAACGCAAGUGGCGCUAACCGGAUAUCCGGUUAGCAUGCUUGUUUCAGUGUCUUAUUUUUUGUGAAUCUAAAUGUGAUUGAUGUUUCUUCACGAAACAUCUCUCAUGAAAUUAGAAUGUGCGUGUACUUGCAACACAACGAAGUAGUCACAUGAAUUUGUGAUCUCGUUGCUUGGGAGCAGUACAUAUAAUUGUGCACAUAGAGUUAUUCAUUAACUCAACAAAAAGUAUCUGAAAUCAAGCAAGAACACCCGCUGAACUUAAGCAUAUCAGUA
rnacentral:rRNA from 1 species